UACGUAGGGGGCAAGCGUUGUCCGGAAUUAUUGGGCGUAAAGAGCGCGCAGGCGGUCGUUCAAGUCGCGUGUGAAAGCCCCCGGCUCAACUGGGGAGGGUCACGCGAUACUGAUCGACUCGAAGGCAGGAGAGGGAAGUGGAAUUCCGGGUGUAGUGGUGAAAUGCGUAGAUAUCGGGAGGAACACCAGUGGCGAAGGCGACUUCCUGGCCUGUUCUUGACGCUGAGGCGCGAAAGCUAGGGGAGCAAACGGG
rnacentral:rRNA from 1 species